rnacentral:lncRNA from 1 species
GUAGAGUUUGAUUUUAUUGUGCUAGAAAACAUUUGAAAUUUUUACAUAAUUUUAAUAACGCUAGGUGGCCAUGGUCACAUGGAGCAGACGUGUAUGACUAAUUGACUAUAUGUUCCUUGUGGCGUGCAACAAUUGGGAUAGACAUUUAUAUAUAGUCUUGAUUAUGGAAUUUUAAAAAAUUAUGAUAUAAUCAUUUAUAUAUAGUGUAGCAGGCCAAUUCUGCCUGGCCCGAUGGAAAUAAAUAAGGCCCCAUUACAAUACACGGCCCAAGUGGCCCAAAACAAAUCAGAAAAAAAAGAAAACCCUAACCCUAGGUGCGCCGCACCUAGGGCCUUCUGACCCUCUGCUGUCGCCGCUUCUGCCACCGCUACCUUUGACGCCGCGCCGCCCGUCAAUCACCUACUCCAUCAACGUCAACACCUGCAAACAAGAGAAAAAGCAGUUACAAAAAUAGCAAAAAUAUUGUAAAAAAAAAGGCUAUAAAGCAAUAACAACCAUUAUAAACGGACGGCGGGCCUUUUCUUUAUUUCACGAAUACAAGUGAAAUAAAAAGCAAUAUUUAGGAAGUUGAUAUUUUGUUUUAGAUAUGAGUUUUUAUUUUUAUUUUUAUAUAUUUUUUAUCUACGGAAAUAAAAAGAAAAAGGAAGAAAAACUCACCUGGUGGGUCCCGCGCUCAUCGUCGGAGGCCCUUUUCGGUCGCCGAAAUCGGACCCAGAGAGUGCGUGGAGGAACUCUUUUCCUUCGGCCUUCCGGCCAAAAAGGGUGGACUUUUGCCCGUGUUUGAAACGAGGUUUAAAAACCCGACUUUUGGGUGGUUCCGUCCGCCGUCCACGGCGGGUACGAUGGCGACCGACAGCGACUCUGCGGCGGUCCUCUCGCCGGAUUCUGGGCAAUGCUCGGAGAAGGCAGAGAGAAAGAGGGAGAGGUUUCUGAAAUUUUUGUAAAAAAUGAAGGGAAAAGUGAUUUUUUUAGGUUUUUUUAUUUAUAUAGGGUACCAAAACGGUACCGUUUUGGGAAGUUCAGAAAAUCCCCAAAACGGCGUCGUUUCGGGGCCAUCCGACCCGACCCGCUUCGGAAGGAGGAUCCGCGUGUUUUAGCCUUGAGGGGUUAUUUGCGCAAGGAGUCUCUCCGUUUUUGCAGCGUAGUGCAAUCUGAUUUUUUUGUUUUUUGUGAUUUGG